UACGGGGGGGGCAAGCGUUGUUCGGAAUUACUGGGCGUAAAGGGCUCGUAGGCGGCCAACUAAGUCGGACGUGAAAUCCCCAGGCUCAACCUGGGAACUGCGUCCGAUACUGGAUGGCUUGAAUUCGGGAGAGGGAUGCAGAAUUCCAGGUGUAGCGGUGAAAUGCGUAGAUAUUGGGAAGAACACCGGUGGCGAAGGCGGCUCACUGGCUCGUAUCUGACGCUCAGGCGCGACAGCGUGGGGAUCAAACAGG
rnacentral:rRNA from 1 species